UAAUACCGCAUAACAGCGUUGUUCGCAUGAACAACGCUUAAAAGAUGGCUUCUCGCUAUCACUUCUGGAUGGACCUGCGGUGCAUUAGCUUGUUGGUGGGGUAAUGGCCUACCAAGGCGAUGAUGCAUAGCCGAGUUGAGAGACUGAUCGGCCACAAUGGGACUGAGACACGGCCCAUACUCCUACGGGAGGCAGCAGUAGGGAAUCUUCCACAAUGGGCGCAAGCCUGAUGGAGCAACACCGCGUGAGUGAAGAAGGGUUUCGGCUCGUAAAGCUCUGUUGUUAAAGAAGAACACGUAUGAGAGUAACUGUUCAUACGUUGACGGUAUUUAACCAGAAAGUCACGGCUAACUACGUGCCAGCAGCCGCGGUAAUACGUAGGUGGCAAGCGUUAUCCGGAUUUAUUGGGCGUAAAGAGAGUGCAGGCGGUUUUCUAAGUCUGAUGUGAAAGCCUUCGGCUUAACCGGAGAAGUGCAUCGGAAACUGGAUAACUUGAGUGCAGAAGAGGGUAGUGGAACUCCAUGUGUAGCGGUGGAAUGCGUAGAUAUAUGGAAGAACACCAGUGGCGAAGGCGGCUACCUGGUCUGCAACUGACGCUGAGACUCGAAAGCAUGGGUAGCGAACAGGA
rnacentral:rRNA from 1 species